rnacentral:rRNA from 1 species
UACGGAGGGUGCAAACGUUGCUCGGAAUCAUCGGGCGUAAAGCGCACGUAGGCGGCCUUGCAAGUUGAAUGUGAAAGCCCUGGGCUCAACCCAGGAAGUGCAUCCAAAACUGCUUGGCUUGAGUUCCGGAGGGUGUCGGAGAAUUCCCGGUGUAGAGGUGAAAUUCGUAGAUAUCGGGUGGAAUACCAGUGGCGAAGGCGCCGACCUGGACGGAAACUGACGCUGAGUUGCGAAAGAGUGGGUAGCAAACAGG